GCAAGGUGCUUUUUCAGCUGCUGCCUCUAUCUUGCCAAUGCCAUCACCAACUGAAAAGCCUAGCUACAUUGUCAUUGAUGUACACUCUGUUGUUAUGAAGUUUUUUUUUUCAUUCUGAACCUCCUUUGUCUCUUUCGUUUGUCCAAGGUGGUUGUCAACUAUGCCAAGUCAGGCUUGGAGGCUGAGAAAGUGUGCAGAGAGGCGAGCCGAUUACGUUACAAUUUCAUGCAAAACCAUGGCAGAUGAAUACAGCUCGUCACUUUUUUCUUUGUCAUGUGUUGGUUUGUGCUUUCAUGAUUGCAUCGAAAUCGGAUGGGUGCAGAUUGAGGAGUCUGGUGGCACGGCGUUCAGCUUCGCCGCUGACAUCUCCUGCGAAGCAGAGGUUGAAUCCAUGAUGAGAACUCUGAGUUGGUCUUCUCUCUAGCCACAUCUAUGCUACAUAUAUAGCAAUCUGAUCAAGUGCAUGAAUCCUUAAUACCACUAUGUGAUGAUUUGCAUCUCUGCCACAGGUAAUUAAUGCUUGGGGAACUCUGGACGUGCUGGUAAACAAUGCAGGUUAUGGACAAGAGAAGAGAAAGAGAUAGCCAUUGUCACUCAUAGUGGUUUAUUGUGGCAUACCUUACGUAUGUAUAACAACGGGUGUCAUCCUACUGUAAGGUAUGAAGUGAGCAAGUAGAAGAAAUAAUGUAUAUGGAUGUAACCGGAUGUAGCUGUGUAUGGAUGUAAUAAAGGAAUAGAAGAAAUUUUGAA